rnacentral:rRNA from 1 species
UACGGGGGGGGGCAAGCGUUGUUCGGAAUUACUGGGCGUAAAGGGCUCGUAGGCGGCCAACUAAGUCAGACGUGAAAUCCCUCGGCUUAACCGGGGAACUGCAUCUGAUACUGGAUGGCUUGAGUUCGGGAGAGGGAUGCGGAAUUCCAGGUGUAGCGGUGAAAUGCGUAGAUAUCUGGAGGAACACCGGUGGCGAAGGCGGCAUCCUGGACCGGUAUUGACACUGAGGCGCGAAAGCCAGGGGAGCAAACGGG